rnacentral:lncRNA from 1 species
GAGAGAUGCACUCCUCAACAUUGCCUGUUGCUGAAGAUUCAGAACUAGCAGCAACACCAAAACAAAAAGAUCAAGCUGGGGUGACAUUGUAACGAGAACUUCUCAGCUGGAGUUAAUUGAUUUGAACAAUUCAAGUCCACCAGGCAAAUCAGCCCAGGACAGCUUACCACGCUGGCCGAGUUAAUUUUUUUUUCACAUAGUUUUUGAACGGCUGCGAUGUUAAGAGGAGACCAAAGGCUGUGAGAUGGAGAAAAUAGAAUUCACUGAAUGUCAAGGGACUUGCCCAGGGACACACAGUGUGUAAGUGAAAGAUUGGGAUGUGAAUCCGUGUCCUGAUUUCAGGCUAAGAGCUCUCAGGUGUCAUUCUUAUAUACCCAGAGACAA